UACGUAGGGGGCAAGCGUUGUCCGGAUUUAUUGGGCGUAAAGAGCGCGCAGGCGGCUUGGCAAGUCGGGUGUGAAAUCCCGGGGCUCAACCCCGGGACUGCAUUCGAUACUGUCAGGCUAGAGGUAGGUAGGGGAGAUCGGAAUUCCUGGUGUAGCGGUGAAAUGCGCAGAUAUCAGGAGGAACACCGGUGGCGAAGGCGGAUCUCUGGGCCUUACCUGACGCUCAGGCGCGAAAGCUAGGGGAGCGAACAGG
rnacentral:rRNA from 1 species